UCGCCUGACCAGCUAGCCCAACCCCCACCUCCCCUACCAAAAUGAUACACCCCUUCAACCAAAACAUUUUUCCGCCUAAGUAUGUGAGACAGAAAAGGCCUAUCGGAGCUAUAGAAAAAGUACCGUAAGGGAAAGCUGAAAGAGUAAAUGAAAAAAUACAGUAAAGGUAAAAAAAGCAGAGAUUACCCCUCGUACCUUUUGCAUAAUGAUUUAGCUAGAACAAUCAAGCAAAGAGCCCUUUAUGUUUGAACCCCCGAAACUAGAGCGAGCUACUCCAAGUUAGCCUACCGCAGGGCAAACCCAUCUCUGUUGCAAAAGAGUGGGAAGAACUUCGAGUAGAGGUGAUAAGCCAACCGAGCCUAGUGAUAGCUGGUUGCCUGGGAAAUGAAUAUAAGUUCAGCCUUUUAAUUUCUUCAACCAAAAACAGGGCCUCCCUCACUCCAGCCUCAUAGAAACUAAAAGAGUUAUUCAAGAAAGGUACAGCUAUCUUGAAAAAAGACACAACUUUAACAGAAGGUAAAGGAUCAUAAACUAUAAAACAAAUACCCCAGUGGGCUUAGAAGCAGCCACCUUAAAAAACAGCGUUAAAGCUUAAGCUUUCCCUACUAAAAAUUCUGAUUAAACCAUCUAAGACCCCUCCCCAAUACCAGGCCUCUCUAUGCCCCCAUAGAAGAGAUACUGCUAAUAUGAGUAAUAAGAGGUUUAGACCCUCUCCCUGCACUAGUGUACAACAGAUCGGACCCCAGCCGUUGAUUAGCGCCCCCACAAAGAGAGUAAUAGGAAACGAAUAAAAAACAAGAAAACCGCCUAACAAAAAGCGUUAGCCCUACACAGGAGUGCCCCAGGAAAGACAUAAAGGGAAAGAAGGAACUCGGCAAACACCUGGUCUCGCCUGUUUACCAAAAACAUCGCCUCUUGCCCUCCCCAUAUAAGAGGUCCCGCCUGCCCCGUGACAAAAGUUUCAACGGCCGCGGUAUCCUGACCGUGCAAAGGUAGCGUAAUCACCUGUCUUUUAAAUAAAGACCUGUAUGAAAGGCACCACGAAGACCAAACUGUCUCCUUUUCCUAGUCAAUGAAAUUGAACUGCCCGUGCAAAUGCGAGCAUAAGAACAUAAGACGAGAAGACCCUGUGGAGCUUUAGACAUGGAAUGCCCAUUAAAGUCUCCUCUGCCUAAACAACCAGAACCCAACGCCUAUGGCCCCCUUUCACUGUCUUCGGUUGGGGCGACCACGGAGCAAUAAAAAACCUCCACGAGGAAUGGACUAAACCCUAAUUCAAGAACAACAGUUCUACCAAACAGAAUAUCUGACCUUAAAAGAUCCGGCUGAGCCGAUCAACGGACCAAGUUACCCCAGGGAUAACAGCGCUAUCCCCUUCCAGAGCCCUUAUCGACAAGGGGGUUUACGACCUCGAUGUUGGAUCAGGACAUCCUAAUGGUGCAGCCGCUAUUAAGGGUUC
rnacentral:rRNA from 1 species